AUGCCCGCUUCAGCAGCACAUAUGUGGAAAUUGGAAUAGUACAGACAAGAUUUGCAUGGCCCCUGUGCAAGGAUGACAUGCAUAUUCACAAGGCAGUCCUAUCUACC
rnacentral:snRNA from 1 species